rnacentral:miRNA from 1 species
UCGAGAUGAUGGAGAGCGCCUA